AUUGAACGCUGGCGGCAUGCCUUACACAUGCAAGUCGAACGGUAACAGGCCGCAAGGUGCUGACGAGUGGCGAACGGGUGAGUAAUGCAUCGGAACGUGCCCAGUCGUGGGGGAUAACGCAGCGAAAGCUGCGCUAAUACCGCAUACGAUCUAUGGAUGAAAGCGGGGGACCGCAAGGCCUCGCGCGAUUGGAGCGGACGACGUCAGAUUAGGUAGGUGGUGGGGUAAAGGCUCACCAAGCCAACGAUCUGUAGCUGGUCUGAGAGGACGACCAGCCACACUGGGACUGAGACACGGCCCAGACUCCUACGGGAGGCAGCAGUGGGGAAUUUUGGACAAUGGGCGCAAGCCUGAUCCAGCAAUGCCGCGUGCAGGAAGAAGGCCUUCGGGUUGUAAACUGCUUUUGUACGGAACGAAAAGGCUCUGGUUAAUACCUGGGGCUCAUGACGGUACCGUAAGAAUAAGCACCGGCUAACUACGUGCCAGCAGCCGCCGUAAAAC
rnacentral:rRNA from 1 species